rnacentral:rRNA from 1 species
UGGGCGAAAGCCUGAUGCAGCGACGCCGCGUGAGGGAUGACGGCCUUCGGGUUGUAAACCUCUUUCAGCAGGGAAGAAGCGAAAGUGACGGUACCUGCAGAAGAAGCGCCGGCUAACUACGUGCCAGCAGCCGCGGUAAUACGUAGGGCGCAAGCGUUGUCCGGAAUUAUUGGGCGUAAAGAGCUCGUAGGCGGCUUGUCGCGUCGGAUGUGAAAGCCCGGGGCUUAACCCCGGGUCUGCAUUCGAUACGGGCAGGCUAGAGUUCGGUAGGGGAGAUCGGAAUUCCUGGUGUAGCGGUGAAAUGCGCAGAUAUCAGGAGGAACACCGGUGGCGAAGGCGGAUCUCUGGGCCGAUACUGACGCUGAGGAGCGAAAGCGUGGGGAGCGAACAGGAUUAGAUACCCUGGUAGUCCACGCCGUAAACGUUGGGAACUAGGUGUGGGCGACAUUCCACGUCGUCCGUGCCGCAGCUAACGCAUUAAGUUCCCCGCCUGG